GACAGAGGUGGCAAGCGUUAUUCGGAUUUAUUGGGCGUAAAGGGCGCGUAGGCGGCCAGGUGCGUCCGGUGUGAAAACGCUACCGCUCAACGGAGCGAAUGCGCUGGAUACGAUCUGGCUAGAGUCCGGGAGAGGUGAAUGGAAUUCCUGGUGUAGCGGUGGAAUGCGUAGAUAUCAGGAAGAACACCAGUGGCGAAGGCGGUUCACUGGCCCGGCACUGACGCUGAUGCGCGAAAGCGUGGGGA
rnacentral:rRNA from 1 species